AUCGGCCUCAGGUUCAAUUCCUGAGAUUUGAUUUUCUUUCCUUCUAAGAAGAUCCAUUCCCAGUAUUUGGAAAGAUGAGUGUAGAAUCUAUUUUCCAUAUGGUACCAGAGCCUUAGCUCGUGACCCGACCCACUUUGAAUCUAUUUGAUCCAUUUUUUUAUCUAAAUCUUUCAUCUUUUUCGGCUAACCCUAAUCCCCCUUUCAAGUUUGCUCAUCACCUUCAUGCUUGUGUACGAAACAAAGUCCACACACAAACCUUUAUUGCUGUCUUUCUGCAAUCUUUCUAUGAAAGAUGAUGUUGUCCGAACAACAAGGCAUCAAAGAUGCCUCCAAUCACAACGUCGCCGCUCCUCUAGAACUGAAUCAUCCCUUGUAUCUUCAUCCUUCAGAGACGCAGAUGACUACACUAGUAACCCAACCUCUAAUCAGAGCCAUGAACAAUGCAAUAUGAAGUCGAGCCAUGAAGAUGGCUCUCUAAGCAAGAAACAAGAUCUGUAUUGUUGAUCGUUCCUAUAGACGAGAUGCCCAAGAUCCCACUCUCCCACUCUAUGUGCAUAGUGGGAUUGCUGCAAUGUUGUCAUACUCUCAUGGUUGCUUAACUCUAUAUCUAAGGAAAUUUCAGCUAGCAUCACCUUUUCAGAAAAUGUGAAUCUCAUUUGGGAAGAUCUCCAAGAACACUUUAGUGUCACUGAUGGCUCCAUGAUUUACAGCCUACAUCAUUUAAUCAACUCUCUCACACAAGAAUUGAUGUCAGUAUCAAGCUAUUUUACGCAAUUGAAGGAGUUAUGAGAGGAGUAUUCUGUAGUUGUACGCCUCUACCUAAUUUCCCGAUUUUGCACAGAGAGAGAGAGAGAGAGAAAAAUCUAUGGUGCCAUCACCGACUUCCCUUUCUCAUUCAUUCCUCGUUCUCGCCGGCGUUAGUGGUGGUCGUUGCCACCUUGCCAGCAGGUUCUUCAUCGUUUCUGUCUCUGGUGGGCUUCGUCGCUCCUCAUGCUGGCUUGCCAUUCGUGUUUGGGUUUGAGUAGUGGGUGGAAUGAGAGCUGAAUCACUGAUCUAAGAUUUGUUAGCUGACGCUGAUCCCACCAUUGACCUUUGAAGAGCAAAGUAACUACGGUGGGUGGAAAAUUUUUGAUUGAUACUGUUGCUUUUAACGUAAAUAUAUAAUUGGUAUGUCUUUUUGAUUAAAAAGAAUAGAUGCUCCACAUAGAUUGUUGAUAGACUUUAUUUUGGGUUAUAUAUUGGCUACUGGCUGGAAGGAGCUACGCUCCUGAUUUA